CGCGUAGGCGGGGAUGCAAGUCAGAUGUGAAAUCUAUGGGCUUAACCCAUAAACUGCAUUUGAAACUGUAUCUCUUGAGUGUCGGAGAGGUAGACGGAAUUCCUAGUGUAGCGGUGAAAUGCGUAGAUAUCAGGAGGAACACCGGUGGCGAAGGCGGCUAUCUGGACAGAAACUGACGCUGAGGCGCGAAAGCUAGGGGAGCAAACA
rnacentral:rRNA from 1 species